AAUCCUUCUUGGCCUUUUGGCUAAGAUCAAGUGUAGUAUCUAUACCAAGCUGCAGCAACUUACCAAAUCACUUCUAAGGUAGUACCUCUC
ensembl:snRNA U2 U2 spliceosomal RNA